rnacentral:rRNA from 1 species
AUACCCCAUAGGUGACAGACCCUGGAAUGGCUGUCACUGAAAUGAUGUUGGUCUUAUGUCGAUUAACGUUGCUUGAAGAUGAGUCUGCGGCGGAUUAGAUUGAUGGUGAGGUAAUGGCUCACCAUGUCUACGAUCCGUAUCGGCUAUGAGAGUAGGAGCCGGGAGAUGGAUACUGAGACAAAGAUCCAGGUUCUACGGAGCGCAGCAGUUGCGAAAACUCCGCAAUGUCCGCAAGGAUGACGGGGGGACCCUGAGUGUCUCGUCACAAACGGGACUUUUGUUUAGCCUAAGGAGCUAGAUGAAUAAGGGCUGGGUAAGACUGGUGCCAGCCUCCGCGGUAACACCAGCAGCUCAAGUGGUGGCCACGAUUACUGGGUUUAAAGCGUUCGUAGUCGGUUAUGCAAGUCCUUUGUGAAAUCCUCCAGCUUAACUGGGGGGCGUGCAGAGGAUACUACAUGACUAGAGGCCGGGAGAGGUCGGGGGUAUUCUCAGGGUAGCGGUGAAAUGUUAUAAUCCUGGGAGGACCACCAGUGGCGAAGGCGCCCGACUUGAACGGGCUUGACGAUGAGGAACGAGAGCUAGGGGAGCAAACCGGAUUAGAUACCCGGGUAGUCCUAGCCGUAAACGAUGUAGGCUGAGUGUUGCCGGAACUUAGGGUUCCGGCAGUGCUGAAGGAAAACCGUUAAGCCUACCACCUGGGGAGUACGGUCGCAAGGCUGAAACUUAAAGGAAUUGGCGGGGGAGCACCACAAGGGGUGGAUGCUGCGGUUUAAUUGGAUACAACGCCGGGCAACUCA